UAUGGAAAUCGACCAGAGAGAGAGAGGAAAAGGGGUGAAACCCUUCUUCAACUAAAAAUCAACAAUUGAAAGCCAAAUUGAAGCUAUAAUUCGUGCAUGAUUAGGGGUUUUUGAUAAUCUAAUCCUAAUUAACACGAGGCAAAUCGGGCGAAACAUCAAGUGGCCAAGAGGGAAAGGACACGCGUUUGAAAGAAAAGCUCUAAGCUUUAGGUGCAUAACAACUCCUGGAUGAAGAUCAAGCCGCCUUUAAAGAACCGAAUACAUAGAAGAAUCAAGCUUCCGCUUUUGUUUGGAUGAUAUAUGUAAAUGAUACUUCGUGUAUGUUUAGUAAAUGUUCCAAAACACUUUGGUAACUCGAUAUUUUGAUCAAGUUGUUUGUAAAACCUUUAUAUGAUAGGAUAACUUUUGUAUAAUCUUUUUAAA